rnacentral:ncRNA from 1 species
CACCGCCCAGCGCUACUACCGAUUGGAUGGUGUAGUGAGGUCCUCGGAUCGUCCCCGGCGGGGUUGGCCCCGGCCCUGCCGGAGCGUCGAGAAGACGGUCGAACUUGACUAUCUAGAGGAAGUAAAAGUUGUAACAAGGUUUCUGUAGGUGAACCUGCGGAAG